UCCCCACCUGCUCCUCACCAAUCCAAAUUCAGUAUUUCCACUGAGGCUUCACUCGCCCGGCCUCCCAGGUUUCCCACACUAUGUGAUCCUUUGAACCCCGGAGAAAUUACUUCUAUUCUGAUGUAUAUGCAGUGAGCUGUGUGAUGAGAAGAUUGUACCUACAGAUGGAAUAUAAAUAGAAGAGACUGGAUGAGACUUUCUCACUGGAAAAUGUAGGACGUUGGAUGAAACAGUCAUGAAGAUUGCUUCCAGCUUUCAAGUACUACUUUGGUGGUGUGAUACUUGCACAAUAAAUG
rnacentral:lncRNA from 1 species